UACGUAGGGUCCAAGCGUUAUCCGGAAUCACUGGGCGUAAAGCGUGCGUAGGUGGCGUGUUAAGUGUGAUGUUAAAUCGCGGGGCUCAACCCUGUCGGUGCAUCGCAUACUGGCAUGCUAGAGGGAAGCAGAGGCAAGUGGAAUUUGUAGUGUAGCAGUGAAAUGCGUAGAUAUUACAAGGAACACCAAUGGCGAAGGCAGCUUGCUGGGCUUCUUCUGACACUGAGGUAUGGAAAGCGUGGGGAGCGAACAGG
rnacentral:rRNA from 1 species